GUUCACCUACAUGCACGUGCACACAAGUGAGCGAUCACUAAUAAAUCACAGAUGCAUAAACAGUGUUUUAGCUUCAGCGCCGGGGUUGAAGUCCGUGUUGUCAAACUUUCAAUCAUACCUGUAGCCAGUUCUUUGAAUCUCUCAAAUGGGUUGAGAUAGCGCUGUGCGUGGUGACUUUCUUUCACUGCAUCCGCCUGCACGGAGCUAGAUGCGCAAAGCUGUGUGAAGAUUCAGUCCUGUAACGUGUUGCGCUAUGGAAUUAAUGUUUUCUUUGAAGAAUAUCCUGGCUGUUUUUUUUUUAUGUGGUAGAAAUCUGCUGCAAGGACUGAGCGGUGCCAUCGAAGGACUGGAUGCCACUGGAGGUGCCUAGAAAGGACGUUCUCAAUCUGAAGGCCACCUGUUUCCUUGGAGGGUGGCUGACUCUCUUCUAGGCUCUCCUGACUGUUCCCUUUACAUGCUGAUGAUGUGUCUUGUAAAUCUGGAUCCCAUUCCAGCAGGACGCUCCUCUUCUUCAGACAGUACCUCAGCUGCUCUCUCUCCUGACAGUCAGCUGUCCACCUCUGCAUGGCCAGUCGAGCCAGCGCCGGCA